AUGAACGCUGGCGGCGUGCUUAACACAUGCAAGUCGAGCGAAGCACUAAAGCGGAUUUCUUCGGAUUGAAGGUUUAGUGACUGAGCGGCGGACGGGUGAGUAACGCGUGGGUAACCUGCCUCAUACAGGGGGAUAACAGUUGGAAACGGCUGCUAAUACCGCAUAAGCGCACAGUACCGCAUGGUACGGUGUGAAAAACUCCGGUGGUAUGAGAUGGACCCGCGUCUGAUUAGGUAGUUGGUGGGGUAACGGCCUACCAAGCCGACGAUCAGUAGCCGACCUGAGAGGGUGACCGGCCACAUUGGGACUGAGACACGGCCCAAACUCCUACGGGAGGCAGCAGUGGGGAAUAUUGCACAAUGGGGGAAACCCUGAUGCAGCGACGCCGCGUGAGCGAAGAAGUAUUUCGGUAUGUAAAG
rnacentral:rRNA from 1 species